rnacentral:rRNA from 1 species
AUGAAUGUGGCACUCAUCUUAAGAUGGGUCUGGCGCAUCCUACGCGGCGAGGGAGGAUUAUGGCUACAGCUCAUUCAAGCGAAAUACCUGAGGGGAGACCCGCUCUUAGCAUGUAACCGGUCGGAAGGAUCCCAAUUCUGGAGAGCCAUUCAAAGGAUCAAGGAGGACAUCCGCCUAGGGGUGUCCUUCUCCUUAGGGAAUGGGAAAGGGAUCCAGCUCUGGUUGGAUCCCUGGCUGAAUACUGAACCCCUUCGAGUGUCCUUUCCGGGCCUAUUCUCGAUUUGUUCGGAUCCGAAUGUCCUAGUGGCUUAGGCCUUCCAAGAUGGACAAUGGAACAUCGGGUUUCGUCGCACAUUUGGACAAGCUGAGAUUAACGAUUGGACUAGAUUACGGGAUGCCCUCCCG